GACGUAGGGCGCGAGCGUUGUCCGGAUUUAUUGGGCGUAAAGAGCUCGUAGGCGGCUCAGUAAGUCGGGUGUGAAACCCCCAGGCUCAACCUGGGGACGCCACUCGAUACUGCUGUGGCUAGAGUCCAGUAGAGGAGUGUGGAAUUCCCGGUGUAGCGGUGAAAUGCGCAGAUAUCGGGAGGAACACCAACGGCGAAGGCAGCACUCUGGGCUGGAACUGACGCUGAGGAGCGAAAGCGUGGGUAGCAAACAGG
rnacentral:rRNA from 1 species